CAGGAGGUGGAGGCGGAAGGAUCUCAAGUCCAAGGCCAGCCUCAGCAACUUACAGAGACCCUCAACAACUUGGCAAGAUCCAGUCUCAAAAAAUAAGGACUUGGGGAUAUAGCUCAGUGGUAAAGCAUACCUGGUUUCAUUUCACAGCAUCAAAAAUAAAUUAAUCUUUCACCCAAUAGAGAAGGAAACUGAGCCCUAAAUAUCCUGCUUGCUUGCCUGAGAGCAAGUGUUUGCCUCAACUGCAGUCUAGUUAACUCCAUUUAGUUGCUAAUGUUUAAUUCCAAAUUUUUAAAAAUGCAAAAAUUAAAGCCUAGAGAAGAAAAGUGGACUUGUCCAAAGCCAUACUUCUAGAACCAGGACUGUAACCCAUAUUUUCUGGUCCUUUAUAUCCUAGUAGCAGUAGAUAGUAUACAGCCUUGGUAGUCAGAGGAAUUUAGAGAGAGGCUUGCUGAGGCCUGGGAGGACUUUCAGAAGUAGGUAGUCUGAAGGGGUAGGGUCUUAAGAUUUGGGGAAAUUAAUUAUAGUCUGUGUCUGAUGUAGAAGAUGGUGCCUGGUUUUCUUUCACGUUGUUGUGAGGGGAAGAAGGGUGUGGAUGAGGUUCUUUGCAUGGACUAGAAGGGACAAGAAUUUUCUGCCAGUGUGACAAAGCACUUCCCCUGGGGGUUAUAUUGUUGAGGCUUCCUCUGUUCCCAGUGUUCCUGCAUACAAGUCUGUAAAAUAGGAGUCUUUGGUCAUCAGAGGUGAGAAGGCAAAUAGCAGAGCAAAUCUGAUGACAGCUUUUCUGCUUUGAAGAUGCUAAAAUUUUCUUUCAGCAAAUUUUACUUUAAAAGCAGGAGUGCAUUUUGAGAAACCUUUGUUUGGUUUAUUGCCUCACAAUUCUAGACAUUGAACUCAAAGACUGUUAAUGCAUGUAGUGAGACAGAACCCUGUUAAGAGGAGGGUUAUAGUACAAAUCAUGAAGAAACAAAUCAGAAGGCCUGGGUUCUGGUUCUUCCACAGCCACUUGCAUAUAUAGACAUAGGUAAACUCAAUCUUUAGAUCUCAUUUCCUUGUCAACAGAAUGGGACUGAUUCUCAAGGCAUAAUUCCCAAGUACUAUUGCAGUGCAUUUCCCCUGUAAGUUGUUAAAAUACAUUAGGAACGUGAAAAACAAAGAAUGAGAAAUUCAAUAGCAUUUUUUACUAAAUGUAAAACACUAGAUCCAGACUUGACUUUAUGCGAUUUCAAAAUAAAAGCAUUACCUCAGCAAAAUUAAAAACAAAAAAGGAUUAGUCAUAAAACCUAAUAAUACCUAAGCCAUGAUUGAGUUAAUGUUUAUAUAAAUAGAUUGCAAGCUAUAAACUACUAUGCAAAUAUAUCUGUGUCCACUUGUGAAAAGAAAGGUUUGGAUUAUUU
rnacentral:lncRNA from 1 species